rnacentral:rRNA from 1 species
GGGUUGUGAGGUUAAGCGACUAAGCGUACACGGUGGAUGCCCUGGCAGUCAGAGGCGAUGAAGGGCGUGCUAAUCUGCGAUAAGCGCCGGUAAGGUGAUAUGAACCGUUAUAACCGGCGAUACCCGAAUGGGGAAACCCAGUGUGAUUCGUCACACUAUCAUUAACUGAAUCCAUAGGUUAAUGAGGCGAACCGGGGGAACUGAAACAUCUAAGUACCCCGAGGAAAAGAAAUCAACCGAGAUUCCCCCAGUAGCGGCGAGCGAACGGGGAGGAGCCCAGAGCCUGAAUCAGCAUGUGUGUUAGUGGAAGCGUCUGGAAAGGCGCGCGAUACAGGGUGACAGCCCCGUACACAAAAGCGCAUGUGCUGUGAGCUCGAUGAGUAGGGCGGGACACGUGGUAUCCUGUCUGAAUAUGGGGGGACCAUCCUCCAAGGCUAAAUACUCCUGACUGACCGAUAGUGAACCAGUACCGUGAGGGAAAGGCGAAAAGAACCCCGGCGAGGGGAGUGAAAAAGAACCUGAAACCGUGUACGUACAAGCAGUGGGAGCNNGUGACUGCGUACCUUUUGUAUAAUGGGUCAGCGACUUAUAUUCUGUAGCAAGGUUAACCGAAUAGGGGAGCCGGAGGGAAACCGAGUCUUAACCGGGCGUUAAGUUGCAGGGUAUAGACCCGAAACCCGGUGAUCUAGCCAUGGGCAGGUUGAAGGUUGGGUAACACUAACUGGAGGACCGAACCGACUAAUGUUGAAAAAUUAGCGGAUGACCUGUGGCUGGGGGUGAAAGGCCAAUCAAACCGGGAGAUAGCUGGUUCUCCCCGAAAGCUAUUUAGGUAGCGCCUCGUGAAUUCAUCUCCGGGGGUAGAGCACUGUUUCGGCUAGGGGGCCAUCCCGGCUUACCAACCCGAUGCAAACUGCGAAUACCGGAGAAUGUUAUCACGGGAGACACACGGCGGGUGCUAACGUCCGUCGUGAAGAGGGAAACAACCCAGACCGCCAGCUAAGGUCCCAAAGUCAUGGUUAAGUGGGAAACGAUGUGGGAAGGCCCAGACAGCCAGGAUGUUGGCUUAGAAGCAGCCAUCAUUUAAAGAAAGCGUAAUAGCUCACUGGUCGAGUCGGCCUGCGCGGAAGAUGUAACGGGGCUAAACCAUGCACCGAAGCUGCGGCAGCGANNGUUGGGUAGGGGAGCGUUCUGUAAGCCUGUGAAGGUGGCCUGUGAGGGUUGCUGGAGGUAUCAGAAGUGCGAAUGCUGACAUAAGUAACGAUAAAGCGGGUGAAAAGCCCGCUCGCCGGAAGACCAAGGGUUCCUGUCCAACGUUAAUCGGGGCAGGGUGAGUCGACCCCUAAGGCGAGGCCGAAAGGCGUAGUCGAUGGGAAACGGGUUAAUAUUCCCGUACUUGGUGUUACUGCGAAGGGGGGACGGAGAAGGCUAUGUUGGCCGGGCGACGGUUGUCCCGGUUUAAGCGUGUAGGUGUGUGUUCCAGGUAAAUCCGGUUCACUUUAACACUGAGGCGUGAUGACGAGGCACUACGGUGCUGAAGUAACAAAUGCCCUGCUUCCAGGAAAAGCCUCUAAGCAUCAGGUAACAUCAAAUCGUACCCCAAACCGACACAGGUGGUCAGGUAGAGAAUACCAAGGCGCUUGAGAGAACUCGGGUGAAGGAACUAGGCAAAAUGGUGCCGUAACUUCGGGAGAAGGCACGCUGACACGUAGGUGAAGUGAUUUACUCAUGGAGCUGAAGUCAGUCGAAGAUACCAGCUGGCUGCAACUGUUUAUUAAAAACACAGCACUGUGCAAACACGAAAGUGGACGUAUACGGUGUGACGCCUGCCCGGUGCCGGAAGGUUAAUUGAUGGGGUCAGCGCAAGCGAAGCUCCUGAUCGAAGCCCCGGUAAACGGCGGCCGUAACUAUAACGGUCCUAAGGUAGCGAAAUUCCUUGUCGGGUAAGUUCCGACCUGCACGAAUGGCGUAAUGAUGGCCAGGCUGUCUCCACCCGAGACUCAGUGAAAUUGAACUCGCUGUGAAGAUGCAGUGUACCCGCGGCAAGACGGAAAGACCCCGUGAACCUUUACUAUAGCUUGACACUGAACAUUGAGCCUUGAUGUGUAGGAUAGGUGGGAGGCUUUGAAGUGUGGACGCCAGUCUGCAUGGAGCCGACCUUGAAAUACCACCCUUUAAUGUUUGAUGUUCUAACGUGGACCCGUGAUCCGGGUUGCGGACAGUGUCUGGUGGGUAGUUUGACUGGGGCGGUCUCCUCCUAAAGAGUAACGGAGGAGCACGAAGGUUGGCUAAUCCUGGUCGGACAUCAGGAGGUUAGUGCAAUGGCAUAAGCCAGCUUGACUGCGAGCGUGACGGCGCGAGCAGGUGCGAAAGCAGGUCAUAGUGAUCCGGUGGUUCUGAAUGGAAGGGCCAUCGCUCAACGGAUAAAAGGUACUCCGGGGAUAACAGGCUGAUACCGCCCAAGAGUUCAUAUCGACGGCGGUGUUUGGCACCUCGAUGUCGGCUCAUCACAUCCUGGGGCUGAAGUAGGUCCCAAGGGUAUGGCUGUUCGCCAUUUAAAGUGGUACGCGAGCUGGGUUUAGAACGUCGUGAGACAGUUCGGUCCCUAUCUGCCGUGGGCGCUGGAGAACUGAGGGGGGCUGCUCCUAGUACGAGAGGACCGGAGUGGACGCAUCACUGGUGUUCGGGUUGUCAUGCCAAUGGCACUGCCCGGUAGCUAAAUGCGGAAGAGAUAAGUGCUGAAAGCAUCUAAGCACGAAACUUGCCCCGAGAUGAGUUCUCCCUGAGACUUAAAGUCUCCUGAAGGAACGUUGAAGACGACGACGUUGAUAGGCCGGGUGUGUAAGCGCAGCGAUGCGUUGAGCUAACCGGUACUAAUGAACCGUG